AAUCUUGGUCGACAUGAAAACUGCCACGUUGUUGUAUCCAGAAAGUUUGGGAAAUCUUGCCAGUUGCCACCCAAAUUCACACUUCUCAAUAAAAGUUCUCUUUUUGCUUUCCCCUGCCACCACUCUCUUGGAUCGCACGCACGAAUCUUGGAAUCAUACCCAUUUCACCUUCCUUAAAUUCUGCAAAAAUUGUUUGAACCAUUGAAUCUUAUUAAAGGUAGCAUCUCUUGGGUUCUUGAUACCUUACUGUACUAACAAUAUAUAUAUAUAUAUAUGCAUCACAUCAAGUUAAUCUCUUUUGGAGUAAUAAGUUAUGGUAUCAUCAUCUGAGACUAUUAGAGAAAGAUGGAGAAGAAAAAGGGGUGGUGGCAAUGAGAGUGAAGGGAUGAGGAAAUUGCUGUUAGGGUUAGGGUUCUUGGUGCAGGGAUUUAGGUGUUUCCCUUGGAUGGCAGUUAAUUUCUUUCUCAAAGAUGGCCUUAAUGUUGACCCAUCUACACUACAGAUCCUACAGAGUUCUGCCAAUCUACCAAUGGUGGCUAAGCCUUUCUAUGGAAUUCUCUCUGAUUCUUUUUACAUUUUUGGACAGCAUCGUGUUCCUUACAUUGCCUUUGGAGCAUUUUUGCAGGCAGUGUCAUGGAUUGCUAUAUUCCUCUCCCCUUCAAAUAUUUCAUUUUUUACGAUCACUCUGUAUCUCUUGCUUGGAAACUUGGGGGCGUCGGUAGUUGAGGUUGCCAAUGAUGCAAUGGUUACGGAGUUAGGAAAACCACCUAGUUCAUCAUCCAAAAAUAGUCCACAUUCUUCAUCAGGCCAGCUCCAGUCAUUUGUUUGGAUUGCCUCAUCUGUCGGUGGAGUUCUUGGAAACCUUGCAGGCGGUAUUGCCAUUGAUCGUUUUUCCCCUCAAGUGAUGUUCCUUAUGUUUGGCAUUCUCUUAAGUAUUCAAUUUCUGGUUACAAUUUUUAUUCAUGAGAGCUCCUUGGACCUUCCCAAGAGUCCAUCAAAUCGAGGAAUCAAAAAGCAACUUUCAGAGCUUCUAGUUGCAUUGCAGAAACCAGAGAUCUAUUAUUCGAUUACCUGGUUUGCAGCUUCUUAUGCAAUGAUUCCAUCACUAACUGGGACGAUGUUCUAUUACCAGACAGAGCAUUUAGGUAUUGAAUCAUCAGUGUUGGGUAUAUCUAAAGUAUUUGGGCAGGCUGCAAUGCUGUUGUGGGGUAUAAUCUACAAUAAGAACCUCAAAUCAAUGUCCCCUAGGAAGCUAAUCUCUGCAAUUCAGGCUACAAUGGCUGUUUUCAUGUUUUCGGAUUUCUUAUUUGUGAAAGGGGUGUACAGGAUGUUUGGUAUUCCUGACUCAUUGUAUGUGGUGCUCUUCUCCGGAUUAUUGGAGGUUCUCUACUUCUUUAAGAUCUUACCCUUCAGUGUUGUAAUGGCACAGCUCUGCCCACUGGGAUGCGAAGGAUCUGUCAUGGCAUUUCUCAUGUCCGCAUUAGCUCUGGCUAUUAUUAUAAGUGGUUAUCUUGGUGUCGCGCUGUCCUCGUUUUUCCAGGUGACAGGGAAUGACUUCUCGGGCCUACGACAUGCCCUGUUAAUUCAGGCAGUAUGUACUCUGUUGCCACUUUAUUGGUCAUCGUGCAUACCUGAUGGUGUCAAGCCUAAAACCAAACCAAAAGAAGGUUGAUCAGCUGUGGCAGUGAGUGAUACUCAAUUCAGCUCAGCAGUUCUUUACAUUCCGAUGAUUACUUAAUUGUUUCUCAUGAUCAGAUGGCGAUUGUGGCAACCUGAAUACCUGACGUGCUUCAUGUGUAAUACUAUUUCAUUUUGGCUUCUAAGAGAUAACAGUUCUAGUCUUCUAAAAUAUCCAAAAUGAACCCUAGAUUAGCCCUUCCUUCCAUAGGAAAUGGCGAAAGAAGAUGAGCAAAACCAAAAGCAUGACACUUUAGGCAUCUAAAACUCUAGAAGAGACUCCUGAGACAACACAAGUUUAUAUAAAGCAAUAUAUGUGGAACCCAAGGAUAGAUAACAGGAUCGGCAUGGGAAGGUCACAAUUAACCGCUAUCAAAUAAAGGUAUGAAGAAUGUGUGGCAAGAGCCUAUUUUCCCAUGAGAAUAUGCUUUGGAAUCUACACAUCAUUAUGAGCCGAUGUACAAAUAUCAGAACUGCAUUGCAGUUGAGGAGGAUAUCUAAGGGAAACAAUGCUUGGCAAAGAAUAUUAGAAUUGAACUCCAUUAGGAAGUAGGAAUAUCUCUGGAGAUACAUCUAUUAAGGUGCAACGACUAUUUUUUUCUUAUUAUUCCUGUAUCAAAGUUAGCAAACCAAAAACAAUAAAGAUGAAAAAUAAAAAAAAAAUAGUA